UAUGAUGAUAUAUAUAUAUAAUUAAAUAAUGGAUGACCAAAGAUAAUUAAAGGAAACUGUGUUUCCAAUCUCUGCAAACACAUAAUUUAAGAAACCUCAAAAAUCAAAAGUUCAAAUGAACUUGUACAAAGGAACAAUCCAAGAUGAUUAACAUGAAAGAACAAAAAAAAAAAAAAAAUCAACCAUUCCGCAUCCCAAUACCAAAGGAAUAGGCAAUCCAAUGGUAAUUAAAACAAGAAAUGAAUCUAAAUAAAAUGAGAUAUAUACUCUUUAAAAAGAAAAAAUAAAAACCCUAACAAGGAAUCUUGGAGGUGAACCACUUCAUGAUAAGAAUGGGAGCCUUGAUCAGUCCCAGUGCGAACUCAACUAUCAA